AACGAACGCUGGCGGCAGGCCUAACACAUGCAAGUCGAGCGAUCCCUUCGGGGAUAGCGGCGGACGGGUGAGUAACGCGUGGGAACGUACCCUUUGCUACGGAAUAGCCUCGGGAAACUGGGAGUAAUACCGUAUGUGCCCUUCGGGGAAAGAUUUAUCGGCAAAGGAUCGGCCCGCGUUGGAUUAGGUAGUUGGUGGGGUAAUGGCCUACCAAGCCGACGAUCCAUAGCUGGUUUGAGAGGAUGAUCAGCCACACUGGGACUGAGACACGGCCCAGACUCCUACGGGAGGCAGCAGUGGGGAAUCUUAGACAAUGGGGGCAACCCUGAUCUAGCCAUGCCGCGUGAGUGAUGAAGGCCUUAGGGUUGUAAAGCUCUUUCAGCUGGGAAGAUAAUGACGGUACCAGCAGAAGAAGCCCGGCUAACUCCGUG
rnacentral:rRNA from 1 species